CCUAUCUGCAUUGAAGGGAGGGAUGCUGGAACUCCAGGAACACAAUGGUCCUGGAGAAAGUGGAAAAGAUGAAGCAUAAAGAAUUGUUGACCAGAUGAAACAAUUGAUAUUCCAGGGACUCUCUUCCAACCUACCAAUGACUAAAGUAAUUAAGCUUCCUGCCAGUGAGAUUUUUGGGCCCAAAGGAUGGAGCAUGAGAAUGAUUAGUUUUGUGGAACACCCUUGUGUUAGAAUUAGUGGACUAUGUUUGGAGAUCCAGCUACCCCAUAAAGACCUGUGAAGCUUAUGCAACUUCCUUCAAGCCUAGUUUGCAGUCAGACUCUUCAAUAGCUGAGUAUGGAGAACUGUGGGCUGGUAAACCUGCAAAAAUCCAUCCCACAGCCCCCACAGCAAACUGAAAGG